GAUGAACGCUGGCGGCGUGCUUAACACGUGCAAGUCGAACGGUGAAGCCAAGCUUGCUUGGUGGAUCAGUGGCGAACGGGUGAGUAACACGUGAGGAACCUGCCCUGGACUCUGGGAUAAGCGCUGGAAACGGCGUCUAAUACUGGAUAUGAGCCUCUAUCGCAUGGUGGGGGUUGGAAAGAUUUUUUGGUCUGGGAUGGGCUCGCGGCCUAUCAGCUUGUUGGUGAGGUAAUGGCUCACCAAGGCGUCGACGGGUAGCCGGCCUGAGAGGGUGACCGGCCACACUGGGACUGAGACACGGCCCAGACUCCUACGGGAGGCAGCAGUGGGGAAUAUUGCACAAUGGGCGAAAGCCUGAUGCAGCAACGCCGCGUGAGGGAUGACGGCCUUCGGGUUGUAAACCUCUUUUAGCAGGGAAGAAGCGAAAGUGACGGUACCUGCAGAAAAAGCGCCGGCUAACUACGUGCCAGCAGCCGCGGUAAUACGUAGGGCGCAAGCGUUAUCCGGAAUUAUUGGGCGUAAAGAGCUCGUAGGCGGUUUGUCGCGUCUGCUGUGAAAUCCCGAGGCUCAACCUCGGGCCUGCAGUGGGUACGGGCAGACUAGAGUGCGGUAGGGGAGAUUGGAAUUCCUGGUGUAGCGGUGGAAUGCGCAGAUAUCAGGAGGAACACCGAUGGCGAAGGCAGAUCUCUGGGCCGUAACUGACGCUGAGGAGCGAAAGGGUGGGGAGCAAACAGGCUUAGAUACCCUGGUCGUCCACCCCGUAAACGUUGGGAACUAGUUGUGGGGACCAUUCCACGGUUUCCGUGACGCAGCUAACGCAUUAAGUUCCCCGCCUGGGGAGUACGGCCGCAAGGCUAAAACUCAAAGGAAUUGACGGGGACCCGCACAAGCGGCGGAGCAUGCGGAUUAAUUCGAUGCAACGCGAAGAACCUUACCAAGGCUUGACAUAUACGAGAACGGGCCAGAAAUGGUCAACUCUUUGGACACUCGUAAACAGGUGGUGCAUGGUUGUCGUCAGCUCGUGUCGUGAGAUGUUGGGUUAAGUCCCGCAACGAGCGCAACCCUCGUUCUAUGUUGCCAGCACGUAAUGGUGGGAACUC
rnacentral:rRNA from 1 species